ensembl:snRNA U1 U1 spliceosomal RNA
AUACUUCCCUGGUGGGGAGACACCAGGAUCAUGAUGGCGGGUUUCUCAUGAUGGCAUGGCACCCUGGAUGUACUGAUCCCUGAGAGUUUCCCAAAUGCGGGAAUCUUGACUAUAAUUUGUGGUGGUGGGGGAGUGUUUAUGCUCUCCCAUA